CUGUGAGAUCGGUGGUACUUGUUACCAUGAAUCGGAUGCCAAAUCAGCUGCUGAAUCGUGCCUUACGUGUGUGCCAUCAACGAGUCAAACAGAGUUCACCCAGACGGCUGAUACCUGUGUCAUCGAUAAUAAAUGUUAUGAUAACAACGGCUUCGAGAUGGCAACACCUUGUCGGUAUUGCAACACAGACAUGGACAAUACAUCAUGGACAAUGAAGGACGCCACCUGCUUUAUUUCGGGUGGUUGCUAUGACGACAAAGCCGACAAUCCAUUGAACGGCUGUCUGUAUUGUGACCCGGAUGAAUCCCUCAGCGACUGGCAGACCCAUGUGAACA